rnacentral:rRNA from 1 species
UUAAGUAAGAAAGGGCGUACGGUGGAUGCCUAGGCACUUGAAACUGAAGAAGGACGCAACAAACGGCGAAACGCGGCGGGGAGCUGUACGUAAGCAAAGAUCCGCCGGUAUCCGAAUGGGGGAACCCGGCAUGCGUAAUAGCAUGUCAUCCGCAGAUGAACAAAUAGUCUGCGAGAGAGGUACCCGGGGAACUGAAACAUCUAAGUACCCGGAGGAAAAGAAAACAACAGUGAUUCCCUGAGUAGCGGCGAGCGAAAGGGGAGGAGCCCAAACCAGACCGAGGUCUGGGGUUGAAGGACCGCGAUACGGCAAGAAUCAUGGUAGGAGAACGGCAUUGAAAGGCCGACCGGAGAGGGUGCAAGUCCCGUAUCCGAAACCGUGAGGAAGCCCAGCGGGAUCCUGAGUACGGCGAGACACGAGAAAUCUUGUCGGAAGCAGGCGGGACCAUCCGUCAAGGCUAAAUAUAAGCAAGUGACCGAUAGUGAACCAGUACCGUGAGGGAAAGGUGAAAAGAACCGCGGGAGCGGAGUGAAACAGAACCUGAAACCGUAUGCUUACAAGAAGUCAGAGCACGUUAAGGUGUGAUGGCGUGCCUUUUGUAGAAUGAACCGGCGAGUUAUGUUAUCGUGCGAGGUUAAGCAGGAGAUGCGGAGCCGAAGCGAAAGCGAGUCUUAAGAGGGCGGCAGUACGAUGACAUAGACCCGAAACCGUGUGAUCUAGCCAUGACCAGGUUGAAGUUCAGGUGAAACUGAAUGGAGGACCGAACCGACCCCCGUUGAAAAGUUGGCGGAUGAGUUGUGGCUAGGGGAGAAAUUCCAAUCGAACACGGAUAUAGCUGGUUCUCCCCGAAAUAGCUUUAGGGCUAGCGUCGAGGAUGAGUCUUGUGGAGGUAGAGCACUGAAUGUACGAUGGCCCCAUCCCGGGGUACUGAGUAUAAUCAAACUCCGAAUGCCAUGAGAUAUUCCCGGCAGUCAGACCGUGGGUGAUAAGGUCCAUGGUCAAAAGGGAAACAGCCCAGACCGCCAGUUAAGGUCCCAAAAUGUAUGCUAAGUGGAAAAGGAUGUGGGGAUGCACAGACAACUAGGAGGUUGGCUCAGAAGCAGCCAUCCUUCAAAGAGUGCGUAACAGCUCACUAGUCGAGUGACCCUGCGCCGAAAAUGUACCGGGGCUAAGCAUACUACCGAAGCUGCGGAUUUGUAGUAAUACAAGUGGUAGGGGAGCGUUCCAUGCACGUGGAAGCCAUACCGAAAGGAGUGGUGGAGAGCAUGGAAGUGAGAAUGCCGGUGUGAGUAGCGAGAUGCAGGUGAGAAUCCUGCACACCGAUAGCCCAAGGAUUCCAGGGGAAGGUUCGUCCGCCCUGGGUAAGUCGGGACCUAAGGCGAGGCCGAAAGGCGUAGUCGAUGGAAAACAGGCAGAUAUUCCUGUACCCGCGAUGGAAAUGAAGGAAUGACGGAGAAGGCUAGCAUGAGCCACUUAUUGGAUUGUGGUCGAAGCGAAUAGCAGGUGCAUAGUCAAAUGCGUGCACGGGAUGUAAAACGUGACAGGUAAGCGAAACCUUUGGGGAGUAGCGAAGCAUGCGAGGCCAGCUUCCAGGAAAAGUUUCUAGUGCUGAUUCCAUAGCGGCCCGUACCAAAACCGACACAGGUGGGCAAGGAGAGUAUCCUGAGGUGAGCGAGAGAACUGUUGCCAAGGAACUCGGCAAAAUGACUCCGUAAGUUAGCGAGAAGGAGUGCUUAUGAAAGUAAGCCGCAGUGAAGAGGCCCAAGCGACUGUUUAACUAAAACACAGCUCUCUGCGAAGUCGCAAGACGAAGUAUAGGGGGUGACGCCUGCCCGGUGCUGGAAGGUUAAGAGGAUUUGUCAGUUUCGACGAAGCAAUGAAUUGAAGCCCCAGUGAACGGCGGCCGUAACUAUAACGGUCCUAAGGUAGCGAAAUUCCUUGUCAGGUAAGUUCUGACCCGCACGAAAGGUGUAAUGAUUUGGGCACUGUCUCGGCAGCAGACUCGGUGAAAUCUUAGUACCUGUGAAGAUGCAGGUUACCCGCAACUAGACGGAAAGACCCCAUGGAGCUUUACUGUAGUCUGCUAUUGAGUUUCGGUUAAGUAUGCACAGGAUAGGUGGGAGACGAUGAGACUGGUCUUUCGGGAUCAGAGGAGUCACUGUUGGGAUACCACUCUUACUUAAUUGAAAUUCUAACUCUAAGCCGUGAUCCGGCUAGAGGACCGUGGCAGAUGGGCAGUUUGACUGGGGCGGUCGCCUCCCAAAGAGUAACGGAGGCGCACAAAGGUACUCUCAGAAUGGUUGGAAAUCAUUCAACGAGCGCAAACGCAGAAGAGUGCUUGACUGCGAGACAAACAAGUCGAGCAGGGACGAAAGUCGGUGUUAGUGAUCCGGCGGUGCAGAAUGGAAUGGCCGUCGCUUAACGGAUAAAAGCUACCCUGGGGAUAACAGGCUGAUCUCGCCCAAGAGUUCACAUCGACGGCGAGGUUUGGCACCUCGAUGUCGGCUCAUCGCAUCCUGGAGCUGAAUUCGGUUCCAAGGGUUGGGCUGUCCGCCCAUUAAAGCGGUACGCGAGCUGGGUUCAGAACGUCGUGAGACAGUUCGGUCCCUAUCUGUUGUGGGCGUAGGAGAUUUGAGGAGAGCUGUCCUUAGUACGAGAGGACCGGGAUGGACCUACCGCUGGUGCACCGGUUGUUGUGCCAACAGCAUAGCCGGGUAGCUAAGUAGGGAAGGGAUAAGCGCUGAAAGCAUCUAAGCGCGAAGCCUACUCCAAGAUGAGAUCUCCCAUACGCAAGUAGUAAGACCCCUUGAAGACGACGAGGUAGAUAGGUCAGGGAUGGAAGCGCAGCGAUGCGUGGAGUUGACUGAUACUAAUAGGUCGAGGACUUAAUCAA